UAUGUUCUGUUGCCAUGGUGAUGGUCACUCCCCCCGCCUGCAGCCUCUGUGACGGAUCCUGGGCGCCGGCGGCUGCCUAUGACGUCACGUGGAUUCCGGAGUGGAUGGCGGCGGCGAUUCCCCCCGUGCACACGUGAUUCUCACAUUACACUAUUGAUAUACAGUAACUGAAGAAGUGAGGGAGAUUGAGGUUUUUCAAGGGCUGUGUUGGGGAAUACAGAUUAGAAAAUGGAGAGCAGCUCAGAAGAUGACACUUGUAGGAGAGCUUAGAACGCAGGGUUCUGGAAUAAGUGCCGAAGACAGACGAUUUUUAUUGUGUAGUUAGGAAUUCCUAGUAGUUGCUGAAAUAACACAGACAUCACAGGCGCUCAACCAUAAUUGAUCUAUUGGCCUCAUUUAUCUGUCUCCCCUGUUCUCUAA